GCCAGGCGCGGUAGCCUGUAGUCCCAGCUACUCCGGAGGCUGAGGCAGGAGGAUCGCUUGAGCCCAGGGGUUCUGGGCUGUAGUGUGCUAUGCUGAUUGGGUGUCCGCACUAAGUUUGGCAUCAAUAUGGUGACCUCCCGGGAGCAGGGGUUCACCAGGUUGCCUAAGGAGGGGUGAACCGGCCCAGGUCGGAAACGGAGCAGGUCAACUUGAUUUGUUAAUGUCUAUAAUGUGGAUAUAGCAAAUCUCAUCAUAAUGCCAGGUUUCUUGAUAACGAUAGACAUAUUCACCCAAAU
rnacentral:SRP_RNA from 1 species